UACGGAGGGUGCAAGCGUUAUCCGGAUUUACUGGGUUUAAAGGGUGCGUAGGUGGGUUGGUAAGUCAGUGGUGAAAUACUUUCGCUUAACGAAGGAACUGCCAUUGAUACUACCAGUCUUGAAUACAGUGGAGGUAGGCGGAAUGCGUCAUGUAGCGGUGAAAUGCUUAGAUAUGACGCAGAACACCAAUUGCGAAGGCAGCUUGCACACUGUUAUUGACACUGAGGCACGAAAGCGUGGGGAUCAAACAGG
rnacentral:rRNA from 1 species